rnacentral:rRNA from 1 species
GUCUGCGGCCACACCACCCUGAACAUGCCCGAUCUCGUCUGAUCUCGGCAGCUAAGCAGGGUCCAGGCCUACACAGUACUUGGAUGGGAGAUGGUCCUGUCCUGGAAGGGAGAGAUGGGGGAGAGAGCC